GACGAACGCUGGCGGCGUGCUUAACACAUGCAAGUCGAACGGAAAGGCCCUGCUUUUGUGGGGUGCUCGAGUGGCGAACGGGUGAGUAACACGUGAGUAACCUGCCCUUGACUUUGGGAUAACUUCAGGAAACUGGGGCUAAUACCGGAUAGGAGCUCCUGCUGCAUGGUGGGGGUUGAAAAGUUUCGGCGGUUGGGGAUGGACUCGCGGCUUAUCAGCUUGUUGGUGGGGUAGUGGCUUACCAAGGCUUUGACGGGUAGCCGGCCUGAGAGGGUGACCGGCCACAUUGGGACUGAGAUACGGCCCAGACUCCUACGGGAGGCAGCAGUGGGGAAUAUUGCACAAUGGGCGGAAGCCUGAUGCAGCAACGCCGCGUGCGGGAUGACGGCCUUCGGGUUGUAAACCGCUUUCGCCUGUGACGAAGCGUGAGUGACGGUAAUGGGCAAAGAAGCACCGGCUAACUACGUG
rnacentral:rRNA from 1 species